GUGAAAAAAGUGACAUUUUAUGUCUAGAAAGUCACUUUUCAUCAAAAGUACAAUAACAAAACUAGUUCCCAUUCAUCCUGUGUCCCCAUAGACACUUGUGCUCUUUAUACGCUCAAAACGCUAUACAGCGCUUCAGAAGGCGCUAGGAGCAAAGGAAAGCGGUUUUUCUAACAAACUCAUGUAAUCAAUUGCCCGACCUACUCCAAUAUGAUUUUUUUCACAUAGUUAGACAUAAUAUAGUACUAUGAAAUGUUUCUGACCCAAAAUAUUACGAAAUAUGAUUGUUUACAUUAAAAUGCAAAAGUUGAUGAAAAAGUAUGAUAAGGUGAAAAAAGUGACAUUUUAUGUCUAGAAAGUGACUUUUCAUCAAAAGUACAAUAACAAAACUAGUUCCCAUUCAUCCUGUGUCUCCAUGCACACUUGUGCUCUUUAUCCGCUCAAAACGCUAUACAGCGAACGAGAAGGCGCUAGGAGCAAAGGAAAGUGGUUUUUCUAACAAACUCAUAUAAUCAAUUGCCCGACGUACUCCAAUUUGAUUUUUUCACAUAGUUAGACAUAAUAUAGUACUAUGAAAUGUUUCUGACCCAAAAUAUUACGAAAUAUGAUUGUUUACAUUAAAAUGCAAAAGUUGAUGAAAAAGUAUGAUAAGGUGAAAAAAGUGACAUUUUAUGUCUAGAAAGUCACUUUUCAUCAAAAGUACAAUAACAAAACUAGUUCCCAUUCAUCCUGUGUCCCCAUACACUUGUGCUCUUUAUACGCUCAAAACGCUAUACAGCGCUUCAGAAGGCGCUAGGAGCAAAGGAAAGCGGUUUUUCUAACAAACUCAUGUAAUCAAUUGCCCGACCUACUCCAAUAUGAUAUUUUUCACAUAUUUACACAUAAUAUAGUACUAUGAAAUGUUUCUGACCUAAAAUAUUACGAAAUAUGAUUGUUUACAUUA
ensembl:lncRNA